GAGAGAAGGGGGGGAGGCCUUGACUUUGUGACUUUACAGUGUGAAGGCGUCAUCCAUCAAUAAUUUUGACUCCUCUCUUUCUCUCUAUCUCUCUUUCUUCAGCGGGAGUGCGUUGUAAACCGCGUUCGGGAGUUCAACGCCCGACUCGGACUCCGUCCCAUCUCCCAUCCUCCUCCUUCUCAGUACUCAUCGUCAAACCUCCCUCUUCAGCUCUGCAGAUGGAUUUCCCCUUUCCCUCGUUUCUUUUCCAGCGGAUUCGUUAUUAUUUGUACAAAAACAGCGCCUGAUUAAGAGACGCUAAUCAUGAUCAUUAUUCUUAAUAUUAUUCUUGUUUCCAUAUCUCGCUAUGCGUUGGCUUCAAAACAUUUCCUUCUCGUCGUCGUCUAAUCCUUCCACCUCUGCCUCUUCUUCCUCUUCUGCUGUUGGCGAUGCCACUUUUUCUCCUGCAAAGAAGCACAGCCAUUAUAGGAGCUAUAUUCGAGCCGGUCCGCUAGCUUUGCGUUUCGGCGGUGGUGGUGGGCCCAGGUUCAUUCGCCCGAAGAAGCUCCGCCAUUUGACCGGAAAUGAGGUUACAGACCGAGCCUCUUCCGCUUCCGCUACCGCUACCGCUACGAAACCCAACUCAGACUCCGCUGAGUCCGUUCAGCUUUCGCGGUCUCCCAGUAGCUCUUCCUCCACCGUCCCUUUGAGGUUGUCAUCGUCAGCUCCUGUGCCAGUGCCGUUGCCCCUGCCUUUACCUCUCCCUGACAAUUCUAAUUCUGGAGACGGGGACUUGCGCUUGAAGUCGCCUAAGGAGAAGGAUCGAGACGGUGUUAAGGAGAGAGAAAGAGAAAGAAGUGAUGGCUCCGGACGAGAGGGAUUUUCUUCCUCGACCUCUCCAAUUAAGAGUGUAUUCCUUGGUCGAGAUACUAGGAAGGUGGUGGAGCAUCUAGAUAUAAGGUCACCUAGGAAGGUUCAUCCAGAUUUUGUUAUGGAUAAUUAUGGAGAGAACUUCAAGGCCAAUGUUCCUACUAGGAGCGCUCCUACUAGUCCAUUUUCAAGUCCUGUACUCAGCCCACAAACAUUAACUUCUGUUGCGGAUUUGUUGCCUUACUAUCAAAUGAUUGCUAAAGGAAAUCAAGUCUGGUCUGCACCAGAAAUGGCAACUAUAGGUAUACCCGGGCUUCCUCCCCCAGCAUUUUUUGAUUACACUGCAUUCAAUAGUGACAGUUCCCCCCUUCAUAGUCCACCAAGUAGAAGUCCCCGCCGGAAUCCAAGAAGCCCUAAUAGACCUGCGUCACCACUGAAUGCAAAACUUUCAAUUGAAACCUCGACCCCAGGCCGUGAAAGUAAUGCUAACUUUGAGGUCCAUCCAUUACCCCUUCCUCCUGGAGCUGCCAGACCUUCAGUGUCAACUCCUGUUCCACAAGUUAUUGCUAAAGCAGAGUCCAUGCCCUUGAAAAGUCAGUGGCAGAAGGGAAAGCUUAUUGGACGUGGUACAUUUGGCAGUGUUUAUGUUGCCAGCAAUAGGGAAACUGGGGCCCUAUGUGCAAUGAAGGAAGUAGACAUAUUUCCAGACGACCCAAAAUCUGCAGAGUCUAUAAAGCAAUUAGAGCAGGAAAUUAAAAUUCUCAGCC
rnacentral:misc_RNA from 1 species